rnacentral:misc_RNA from 1 species
GAUGAAGAACGCAGCGAAAUGCGAUAGGUAAUGUGAAUUGCAGAAUUCAGUGAAUCAUCGAAUCUUUGAACGCACAUUGCGCCCGCCAGUAUUCUGGCGGGCAUGCCUGUCCGAGCGUCAUUUCAACCCUCAAGCCCCCGGGCUUGGUGUUGGAGAUCGGCGAGCCCCCCCGGGGCGCGCCGUCUCCCAAAUAUAGUGGCGGUCCCGCUGUAGCUUCCUCUGCGUAGUAGCACACCUCGCACUGGGAAACAGCGUGGCCACGCCGUAAAACCCCCCACUUCUGAAAGGUUGACCUCGGAUCAGGUAGGAAUACCCGCUGAACUUAAGCAUAUCAAUAAGCGGAGGA